CAGUCAAUUGUAAGGAGCACAGUUCUGGAACCACAGCUUCUGGGGAAGGAGGAGUCCUAUCUGUCGUAUCUACCAGCAACCCUCGAUGUUAUCGAGAGAGAGUCUAGGAAUUCAAUUUGUCAUUGGAAGAAUCUUCUGGAAGGAGAGAGGACAGUAGACAAGAGGCCCCGGUUUUCCUGUCAGAGAUCUCUGAGAAUAUUUGAGGGCCCCCUGCACAAGCGAUAUGAGACUGCCUGCCUUGUGUGAGCCUUGGAUGAGCCCUGCAGCUCCUUCGAGAUGCUCCUUGGAUAUUCCUGAUGGAGAAGACCAACCCCGAGGAAGCUUGGUCCUGCUUGCGAUGAGCUUGCUGUGCUUUCACGGACACCCUUCGUUUCUUCUACCAGUUUUCAGUGCCAGGGUGCGCUUGAAAGGAGAGCUGAUGCCAGGGCUAUAGCCUUCCCCAGCCAGAGCAUGUGGGCCAAACCCUUUCUGGAUGGCUAGGCAGUGGGGAGAAGCCAUGAGAUGGUUGAGAAGUAGUCACAACUCCCCUGGGGACAGACUGGUUUUCAGGGUUACAUCCAUUCAAAAACACCCCCCGGAAUUCAGGCUUGUGAAAGACAAGCUAACUUGACCCUGUUCCUUUGUUCUCACUGAGGUCCUGUCCCUGGCAUCCCCUUCCUCCUGUGGACACCACUGAGGUGCAGACACUACCCCGAUGGGGCUUCCCGUCCUGCUGUUCGGCUCUGGAAGAGACUUGAUUCCUUUUCUUUUUGUGCUGGUGGAGAUCACACACAAAAGGGAUGAUGCCGGUGGCGGACAGGAAGCCCAGCUCCUGCCGCCUGGAUGACUCUUCCCUUGGUGGGGACCAAUCCUGGAUGGAAUCAGUUCAAGAUGGAUGCCAGCUUCAUACAAGAGCCCUAUCAGGAUUGGCCUGAGAGAGAAGUGCUAUCAGCUACUAAAAGUGAAUACUAAAUGGCCUAUCUAUGUCAGAGGGAAGCCCAAAGCCCAGGAAGAAAUGAUGGACCAGAAACAACAGGACAUGCUCGUAAGGAAGACUUGCUGCAUGGUGGAUGGCCCAGAGACGGCGGGGCUCACAGAUGGUCACGUUUAGUGCUUGCAGAUUGGUAAUGCCUGUGCCCUUGGCUUUGUUUAUUCUGGUCAACCAGUUGUCAGUGCUGCCAUCGAGGGCUUUCUGGACAGCAUGGCACCUUCCGUAAGGAGACCUUGGCUUCAGUAGCUAGUCCAGAGAUGAGACAGUGGGAGUGGAGGAUCACCUGGGAUCAUGUAGAGCUCAAUGAACCUUCUCUUGAUUCAUAUGAGGAUGCUAGUAGCCUUGGUUGGGCUUUUCUGCAGUGGGACUUUUAUAGUCCCCUCAGGACCUUGAUGUGACUAACCAUAUGUGCACCAUUGAGAAAUGCAAGUCCCCAUUCACAUACCCCAGGGUCUAUAUACCUGCAGAGGACUUCUGACCUACAGCAAGUGGGCUCCCUUCUCAUCUUGAAAACCUUCCAGUGUGAACUCUAGAACCAAGGAAGACAGAGAAAGGGGACAAUGUCAGCAUCGUUGCAAGGGAGUACCAAAUGCUACCUCUAAGGAUUUCCUGGACAUGAUGGCAACUUGCAGAAAGAUGGCGGUUCAGUCAAGCUGGUAGAGAAGCCAAGUAUGGAUGUUUGGCCACGGACAGUGUGCUUGAGCUAGCUGUAAGUCACCUGGUCGGGUUACCUGAGCAUCUGAUCCACCUGUAGGCCUCUCAUCAGUGGGCCGUGCCAACCUUGGUGAGGCAGCUGUGGCUCUGCCCCCAAGUAUCAGCUUACAAGACUUUGAAAAGAGGUCAUCUUCCGGAAGAGAUGUUGGUGCCAGCACCAUUCAGGGUGUGUGACUGGUUGACCAGAGGGGCGUGCACUCUGUUCACCCUGUGGGCCACCUAGUCACCAACCCUCAGCAUCAAUUCCACUCAAAGAAGACUUUCCAGAGAUCCUACCAAGUUUGGGGAUAUGUCAAUGGACUUGAUGGCUGUGCCUGCUCAGUGGACCAGGAUGAACUGUGGUCUUAGGGGUGUAUGUUUACAUAAGAUGCCAUGAGGCAUCCGUGGUAGCUGCUGCAUCACUGUCACAGCCUCCUUGAAAUGUUGACUUCAGAUGUGGACAUGAUGUUGACUUCCCAUGAGGGACCUGAAGUCCCUUCUCUCCUGGGAGAGUCUGUGAGAUGAUACCAACCUCUAGAAGCAGGCAUGGUUGUCCCGACAUCGCCACACUACCACAGGAGCUUCCAGAAUACAUUCUCUUCAUGGAAACUGUGGAACCGUGCCCCCUCUGGUCCAGGAGGACUAACCAGAUUCAAGGCUAUCACCAUCCCCCUUCAGGACAGUGGAAGCAGCCACCUUUUCGAGAGAGUCGAUGUGUUCUUCACCAGUGUUCUUCGCCAGUGAUCAUGUGUGAUACUUGGAGAGAGGCUGGCCGUGAUGAAUUCGAUUCAUCUAAACGAGUCAUACACGGCUCUCCUCUCUUCUAGUGUCAAACUCUGCCUCAGAGGUCUUCUCAAGCCACUAUUGUUCCCAAGGAUGCCUAAUUGCAAUGCCAGCUUCUGGGGUGAACAUGGACCCACUGUCAUCGGGCAAGGUCUAGGAUGGACAUGGAGACCCACCAUCUGGGAGAUUCCAGAGUGGACGUGAACCCACCAUCAUCAGGCAGCUUCAUGGAGUAUUCAGAAGCUGGCGGGUGUCACCUGGAGGAUGUGACUGGGUACCAGUGCCAGAGCACGUGCCCACUGAGCAGUCUUCUUCACUUUCCUCGAUCCUCAUGAAACAUUCCGGGAUCUUUACCUCAAAGGACUCCAGAGGCUACAUCAUUGUCUUGGAACUGGUCAGUGGCUGGAGCUCUCUCCAGGACAAGUGCUUGGAGGAAGAACCUGGACAAGCUUCCCUCCCCAUACUGUUGACUGGAUCUUGUAGCUACCGUUAGCCACCAUCAUCGCCAUUGUGUGCCUCUUAGGAGCAUUUCCAGGAGGUGAUGCCAGCUGGGGAAAGAGCCUCUGUCCCACAGCCGUCGGUGCCCGCUGCAGCCUGCGCCCAGGAUGUCACAGCCUCAGCUCAACACCUCUGCUGGACAGCUUCAGGUGGUGAUUCCAGCUCCAGGGUUGCUGCGGUCAACACUGGGUACUUGAGGAGAGGUUGUCUGUGAUGAGUUCGCUUUAUUAAUGACGAAUAUAACACAGAUGGCCUGUUUUCAAUACCACCUGCCACUCCGGUCACUCGGCAGUACAUACCAGGUGUCACACCACUGCCCGGCAGGUGACAACGCUGAAUUGGUCCUCAGGAGCGAAUUGGUCCUCAGGAGCGGAUGUUCAAGGAACCCUGCCUAUGCACCAUGCUAGCUGCCAGUCCUAGGUUGGGACAUUCCACUGGGGACAUCCAUGGGAGAGCUAUGGCCAUUAACAAGUCCUGAGCCCUGACCUGAAGCCAUCAGUGGCCUAGCUGCUCUACCUGACUUUGUGGCCUCCCUUCCUGGAUCUCUCGCUUACGACAACCGACAACAAAGAUGUUUGACUCCAGAAGAUGCUCCCCGCGGCCCACCUGAGAGGACUGUCCACACCCCACCCCACUGCGCCCUGUGCCAUCUACCUCUGAGUCCCCAACUUCUCACCCAUGUUUCAACUCCCACCCCAGAGCCUUGUAUUCCAGAUCUGAGCAGCCCUUGCUUAGGAACCUGAGGUGGGGGGUGGGUAGGCAGACCCAGGGGACUGAGCAGGGAGGGGAAGGAGGGGUUUCUGCUCUUGGCUUUCAAAGUUCUCAGUGUGUGUAGCCCUUUGAAUAAUAAACAUAUGUCAUAUAAUGUAAA
ensembl:lincRNA Mirg miRNA containing gene